UACGUGAGGGGGCAAGCGUUGUCCGGAAUCAUUGGGCGUAAAGCGCGUGUAGGCGGCUUGGUAAGUCUGCUCUGAAAGCCCGGGGCUCAACCCCGGGAGGCGGGUGGAUACUGUCAAGCUCGAGUCCGGAAGAGGAGUGUGGAAUUCCUGGUGUAAGCGGUGAAAUGCGCAGAUAUCAGGAGGAACACCAUGGCGAAGGCAGCACUCUGGGACGUGACUGACGCUGAGACGCGAAAGCGUGGGGAGCAAACAGG
rnacentral:rRNA from 1 species